rnacentral:rRNA from 1 species
AAAGAAACUAACAAGGAUUCCCCUAGUAACGGCGAGUGAAGCGGGAAGAGCACAAAUUUUAAAUCUACCUGGUUUUCAGGUCGAGUUGUAAUUUGAAGAAGUGUUUUUUACUUUCCGGGUUGGGUUAAAUCCUUUGGGAUAAGGUAUCAUGGAGGGUGAGAAUCCCGUGUAUACCAACCGCAGGAUUGUUUAAUAUACGCUUUCUAAGAGUCGAGUUGUUUGGGAAUGCAGCUCUAAAUGGGUGGUAAAUUUCACCUAAUGCUAAAUAUAAGCGAGAGACCGAUAGCGAACAAGUACCGUGGGGGAAAGAUGAAAAGAACUUUGAAAAGAGAGUUAAAUAGUACGUGAAAUUGUUGAAAGGGAAACGGUUGAAGUCAGUCAUGCCGGCGGGAAUCAACUUAGGGGAAACUCUGAGUGCACUUCUUCGCUUGGCAGGUUAGCGUCGAUUUUGGAUGUCAUAAAAUGACUGGGGGAAGGUAGCUCUUUCGGGGGUGUUAAGCCCUUGGUAGAUGUGAUGUCCGGGAUCGAGGAUUGCAACGGAUACCUUUUGGGCUAGCCGCCUAGUCUCUAAUACGAAGUUGGGUUAUGGACAGCACGCUGACUGUGAUCUGAUUUUCGGUUAAAAGAUUAGAGCAGUGUAAAUUCGUUAAGGACGCUG